rnacentral:lncRNA from 1 species
CGAACUUAAAUAUCAUACUCAACAGUCGUAAAUACAACCUCCCCAAAAUACGACUUAAAUCCAACGGCCGGAUUCUACAUUAAUUACCCGCCAAAAAUACCACACUUCGGAAAUUCAUAAACCUAUCCAAAACUCAUCCAAAAAUUCCAUAACUCACUUCAAUAAACUCCCCUUAAUAUUCCAAAUUUAACAACAUUAAAAUCUCCCAACCGGCGGCGGCGCCGGCGGCGGCUCCGCCGGCAGCGGCGGCCGGAGGUCAAUUCCGGCGACUUGCAAAUGCUACCAAAUUUUAACAGAAUCUUCCUCUCAAUCUCCUCUACAACUUUCAUGACCAACACAUCACCCAAUUCCAAGCCUAACUAGGCUAAUCGAACGAAAAUAACUUAAAAGCCUAGAAAUUUCAACUCCACAUUUCUCCUUACCUAGCUCAAGAGGGAGGGAGCUACUUGGAGGGGUUGUUGCACGGGAGGAGGGCUACAAAACCGUACCAAGCUUGCCCGGAUUGGUGGCCGGAGGAGGAAGUUCCGGCAAGAAAACCAAUUCGGCAGUCGAAGCUUUCGGGCGGCACCGCUCACUCACGGCGGCGCUAGGGCUCCUCUCACCGGUCCAGGGAGGCUGCUGGGUUGGAGGUCGAUCGAUUGGAACCGGUGCGGCGGUCUGGGGCGGCCGGACGGCGGUGGUGAAGUUUCCCGGGUGGAGGGAGAAGAAACGCGGGUGGGAAGAGAGAAAACGGGAGGGAGAGAGAAGAGAAAGAAGAAGAAAUGGGUUGGGCUCGGCCCAGCCGACCCAACACCCCUUUUAACCCAUAAUUCCAAAAUUCAACACCCCGAAAAAUAAUACCCGAAUAAAAAUUACCUUUUACUAGCUAAAAUUUACUAUUUUUACCGUCGUCGUAUUUUCCUCAUACGAAUAAUCCUCCGCACAUAAUCGUCCCCGAAACCCCUCUAGGGACCAAUUAAACUAUUUACUCAAUGAUCGAGACGGUAAAAUUCUUAUUAUAAUCACGCUAGUAAAUAAGGUAAAAAUAUAAGGGUCGGGAUGUGACAUAAACCCUAUAAUUUCAUUGAAGCGAAAUAGCAGAGAGAUCGAGAUGAGUGAUACUCACGAGUCUUUGUGCCGUGGAGGAGAUGGUGUCGAUCAUGUGCUGCUCAUCGGCUCGUUCUGAAAGUCCUUC